CUCUACUUCAUGUCCAUGCUCAGAUAUGAUAGAGAUCAGAUCUAAGAGAGAAAAAGAGGGAGAAAAAGAGAAGAAGAAGGAUUUUUCUUCUCUUCAUGGUAUUCUGAUUCAGAUCCCAUCGGAUCUGUGUGAAAUAGUUCGCGCAGCGAUCUCCUUCUUCAAGAUCUGGAAGAAGAGAUCUAGAUCCAAGAAUGAGGAUCGAGAUCUGCAAGCUGCUAGCAUAUCGGUGAUCUUGGUGCUCCGAUCAAGUAUCUCUGUAUGGA
rnacentral:lncRNA from 1 species